rnacentral:tRNA from 1 species
CGUAGCUCAGUGGUUAGAGCGUGGGACUUCUGUUCUGGAGGCUUCGGGUUCAAAUCCCGU